rnacentral:rRNA from 1 species
AAACAUCUCUUUUUGAAAAUAAUUUAAAGUAGGGCCUGCCCACUGAAUAUUUUGAAGGGCCGCAGUAUUUUGACUGUGCAAAGGUAGCAUAAUCAUUAGUUUUUUAAUUGAAAGCUUGUAUGAAUGGUUUGAUGAAAAAAUGACUUUCUUUACUUUAACUUUUAAAAACUUUAUUUUUAAGUUAAAAAGCUUAAAUUUUUUUAAUAGACGAGAAGACCCUAUAGAGUUUUAUUUAUUUAAAUUUUUAAAUUUUUAGAAUUUAAUAAUUUUUAAUUUUAAAUAAAUUUGGUUGGGGUGAUUAAAAAAUUUAAUAAACUUUUUUUAUAUAAUAACAUUAAUUUAUGAAUUGUUGAUCCAUUAAAAUGAUUAAAAGAAUAAAUUACCUUAGGGAUAACAGCGUUAUUUUUUUUUAGAGUUCUAAUCGAAAAAAAAGAUUGCGACCUCGAUGUUGGAUUAAAGUUAAUUUUAGGUGUAGAAGCUUAAAU